GUCGGUGUGGCGCAAUGGUAGCGCGUUGGACUUCUACAUGCAUUGCGUGAGACAUCCAAAGGCUGUGGGUUCGAGCCCCACCAUCGAUG
rnacentral:tRNA from 1 species